CCUUAAUAACCCGCAUUUCCCGAGCGUCCGCCAAAGAAUUCAGACUACACUUUCGGGGCCGAGUUGGCCCCUCCCAGUAACCUUUGACCCUUUGAACUCACGUCUUCUCCUCUCACCUUAAGGUGCACAUCGCCACUUUACGCAUCUCUACACCUCCUUGUGGUCACCGCUUCCGCUGAGAGACCAGACAUUGACUGCGACUCCUCGCUUUCGCACCCCUCGCUUGUCCUAAUCUAUGGGACCAUCAGGUGCGGCAUUUGCUACUCACGAUUCACAAUCCCCCAAAGGCGGGGAAUCACGACGUCGAUUGCGUAAUUCGUGAGGCGGACCCCUCAUGCCAGCGUUCUGACUUUGAGUUUCCUUAACUGCCCCCGGGCGUGUUCGCCACCUCGUACACCAAAUUAAGCUUCGUUGCGCUUCUUGGAAUGGUCCAGAACUGUAGGAGACUGUUGGGAUCUCUAUCCCGAAAGGGAAGCCCCUGUCUCACUGUCCACCACGUACCAACAGCAGUCGAGCACAGCACUCUACAACCCAAUUCAGGGCGUUGCUCGCGUUGGGAACUAGAAUCAACGGUCGUAAGUCAACCCGUGAGAUUCCACUGACGGCCACUGUUUGGCCUCCUUCCACCCCUACUGCAGUUUAGUAGUACGGGGAAUACUGGACCCGAUGUGUGCACGAUGUUACCUGUCUUGUUUCCCGACGCUCUGGCGUUCCAAAUCGGUUAGGGUGUUUAGAAAGAGU
rnacentral:rRNA from 1 species